GACGAACGCUGGCGGCGUGCUUAACACAUGCAAGUCGAGCGGUAAGGCCCUUUCGGGGGUACACGAGCGGCGAACGGGUGAGUAACACGUGGGUGACCUGCCCUCAGCUCUGGGAUAAGCCUGGGAAACCGGGUCUAAUACUGGAUAUGACUCCAUGACGCAUGUUGUGGGGUGGAAAGCCUUGUGCGGCUGAGGAUGGGCCCGCGGCCUAUCAGCUUGUUGGUGGGGUGANGGCCUACCAAGGCGACGACGGGUAGCCGGCCUGAGAGGGCGACCGGCCACACUGGGACUGAGACACGGCCCUGACUCCUACGGGAGGCAGCAGUGGGGAAUCUUGCGCAAAGUGGGACGAAAGCCUGACGCAGCGACGCCGCGUGAGGGAUGAC
rnacentral:rRNA from 1 species